CUUUUUUUAUGCCUUGGGAGAAGUCCUGUGCUGCAGACCCUUCGCUGGCUGCGAUGUUGUGCUUGGAACGAGCCCCUGUUUAGGCUGUCGGUGGCGGAACCCCGGGUUCCUGCUCGGAAAGAGCAGCAGCCUGCUAUCAUCAGCCUCAGCGUGACGGCGCCGGCCAGAUGCGAAUGCAGAACCCACCAAGGGCUUCACCUUUACCAUCAUGUGGGCCAUGUGGCCCUGCAGCAAGUCUGUCACUCAGGAGUGAAGGCGAAGGGUGGGAGAGGACCCUGUGUGCCUGGAGGCCUGUUGCUGCGGAGCCAAAAUGUAUGUGAAUGUGUGUGUGCCCCCUCCAUGGCAGGGGCUGAAGAGACAGACUUGUUCACAAAAGUGUGUGUGGCCAAGUGGUGAAGAAAGAGCUCUGAAGUUAGCUCAAAUGCAUCCUGAAGAUGAAAAGAACAAAGAGCACAAAGACCAUGGCUUGAAAAAGAACUUUUUUUUUCUUUCUUUCCUCUACUUUAUUUAUUUUUUUUGGAAGCCAGAGCUGUGAUUUUGCCCUGAUAGAUGUUUUUGAAUGCUAGAGACCGGCAAAUGGGG
rnacentral:lncRNA from 1 species